rnacentral:sRNA from 1 species
UGCAUUUGCAACAGUGAGGAUGUCAUCCUAAGUUAACUGGAACAAGUGAAGUUUCUAUCUGUAGGGCAAAUUCUGGACUGUUGUGUACAAAGAAACGGAAUGUAUGUGUCUGUAGCAGGCGCCCAAUAAACAGCAUAUUGAUGUUAGCUUUAGUCUAGAUUUUAUAUUAUGGUAGUACUUUACUUUCCCUAUAGCUUACAACUUCCCUUUUUUAUAAGUCCCAGAUAGAGAGUCAUCGAGAGAUAUUGUGUAGACAUUUUUGUUAUUUACUUUGGAGUCUCUAUUGUUUUUUAUAGUACUUUUUGUUGGUUGUUUAUUUUUUUCUACCAGAUCUGCCUUACAGUUUAUUUUGUGGAGAUCAGAGAGAAUUGUCAUUUUAAACAAAUUCCAAAGACUGCAAUAAUGUGAAUGAUUUGAUAUUAUCAGAAGAAAUUAUUUUAUGAAUCAUGCUGUAGGAGAGUAACUCCGAGUUGAUACUCCUGUGAAGUGCAAUUCUCACCAGAAAUCAUUACUGAUUAAAAGUGUAUGAUGUCUUUCAACACUCUGCAAAAGUAAUAUCACCAAAGUCAUGAGCCAAGAACUCCAUCAAAUUCAGAAUAUAUUUAUAUUUGUGCAUUUUGUUAUGCAACUAAAAUGUCGGUUACAAAGAUUUAUAAUAAAGAUAUACUAG